rnacentral:lncRNA from 10 species
GCGGGCGCUCCUCCCCCAGCCUCGCUGCCGCCUUGCAGUUUGAUCUCAGACUGCUGUGCUAGCAAUCAGCGAGACUCCAUGGGCGUAGGACCUUCUGAGCCAGGUGCAGGAUAUAAUCUCGUGGUGCACCGUUUUUUAAGCCCGUCGGAAAAGCGCAGUAUUCAGGUGGGAGUGACCCGAUUUUCCAGGUGCCGUCCGUCACCCCUUUCUUUGACUCAGAAAGGGAACUCCCUGACCCCUUGUGCUUCCCAAGUGUGUCAAUGCCUCGCCCUGCUUCGGCUCGCGCACGGUGCACGCACCCACUGACCUGUGCCCACUGUCUGGCACUCCCUAGUGAGAUGAACCCGGUACCUCAGAUGGAAAUGCAGAAAUCACCCGUCUUCUGCGUCGCUCACGCUGGGAGCUGUAGACGGGAGCUGUUACUAUUCGGCCAUCUUGGCUCCUCCGCCCUAAAAUCCUCUUUUCAUUCCUAGUCAUUCUCUGUAAAGGCACAGGACUGAAGUUUAUGAAAAUGAAAGAAAAAACAUUCUCACCUUGUGAGUGGCUGA